CUCCCUGCUCCCCGGCAGUCCCCACAUGAAGCAGCAGACUAGUGGGUAGAACUGCAGGGGUAUGGAGACAUCCUGAACCUCAGCAGCAGCAGUCCCAGCACCCCGCCCCCAACCUCAGGCAUGAAGAGCAGGGUGUACGGACACUGUGGACACAUGUCCCUUGAAGUCUGGCCUCCACCAGUACAUUGCCUGGGUUAAAUUCCACACAUGUCUGGCCCUGAAGCCAGUACUGUGUGCUUUCUUCAGCUAAAACAACCCCUCUCCAUCUCUUCUGUAUCUUCCUAGGUCCUGGGCUCAUCAAGCAAUUGAAAUCUUUCAAAAUGAUCGAUCAGGGCUGAUCCACUCGAGAUUUUACUUGUGGUUGAUGUUAUUUUUCAAGUCAACGACCAAUUACAGUAACAGCAUUGAUUAAACACCGUCUCUUUGCCCUGCAUGGAAAUGCCAUCUUUCCUGUGCUUUACCUCGGAAUGGACCGGGCUUGGUUGCACACAGCUUUGAGCCCAGCACGCUGAAGACAAACAGGUGGAACUCUGUGAGUCUAAGGCCAGCCAGCCUAGUCUACAAAGAGAGUUCCAGAACAGCCAGGACUACAUAAUGAAACCCUGUGUCAAAACACAACCAACAAACAGCGUGGGUCUUGAAUGGCUUUUAUACGUCUUGGCCUCCUGGUCUACAAACUUGCUGUGUCAAUGCCAUGUAGCCUUUCACGCUAUUCCAUCAGCUUGGUCCAGAGUUUUAGCAUCUGGCACAACUGUUCUACAUCAGUGUUUUUCAGAGAUAAAAUGCUGCUCGUGAAAUGGAAAUAUUUAGAAUUGCUUCUACAUAAAUGUUAAAUGCUUUUAUAGAACCCAAGGAAAACCCUGUUGACGUUCUGAUUAAAAUUAAGGUUCUCAUCCCUUUG
rnacentral:lncRNA from 1 species